AAUGAACGCUGGCGGCAGGCCUAACACAUGCAAGUCGAACGCACCUUUCGGGGUGAGUGGCGGACGGGUGAGUAACGCGUGGGAAUAUGCCCUUUGGUACGGAAUAGUCCUGGGAAACUGGGGGUAAUACCGUAUGUGCCCUUCGGGGAAAGAUUUAUCGCCAAAGGAUUAGCCCGCGUUGGAUUAGGUAGUUGGUGGGGUAAUGGCCUACCAAGCCGACGAUCCAUAGCUGGUUUGAGAGGAUGAUCAGCCACACUGGGACUGAGACACGGCCCAGACUCCUACGGGAGGCAGCAGUGGGGAAUCUUAGACAAUGGGGGAAACCCUGAUCUAGCCAUGCCGCGUGAUCGAUGAAGGCCUUAGGGUUGUAAAGAUCUUUCAGAUGGGAAGAUAAUGACGGUACCAUCAGAAGAAGCCCCGGNUAACUCCGUGCCAGCAGCCGCGGUAAUGUACAGUGU
rnacentral:rRNA from 1 species